UUACCUAAUCAUUUUGUUGUAGUCAAAAUAAUAACAUACGAGUAAUUUUAUUGAUUAAUAAGUUGUUGGCUAGUGCCAUGUGUACUGUGUUAUACAAAAAUGAAAGGCUAGUGGGGAGUAUCGGCUCUUGUUUUUGCAUAACGGUUAAAAGUAUCUCAAAGAACGGUCCAGAGAUGAAGGAACAAGAUGAGAUAUAUGACCAACAUUAAGGAGUAUAUUUCGAAUAAGCUUCCUCUCGAGAGAUAGACACCUCCGCAACGCCUGCCGAUAGGAAUCUCCCAAAAGAACUAAGUUUAAUUUUGCCUGCAACCGGAUAGAAUAAUCACCAGACGGCAUUCGGGCGAAGUGCUUCAUCAGUAAUAUUUGGAGCAAUUGUUGCAGUUAUGUUUGUAGAGUAGUCGGAAACAGUGGACCGCCGGAUAAAAUCUACCAAAAACCCAUCAGUAACGAAAGUGUAAUUGCCUAUUUCCGAAACUGCGCCAUAGGAUCUUAACUUUUUAAGUUAAAGCUAGUUGGCAAAACGGAAUGUAAUAAGAUGCAAUUGCGAACCGGAAUCAAGCAAUGCCCGACCGGGAAUGAACGAUCCAUUACAGCUGUUAACUAAAACAGACGCAGUGGCUAAAAGCGCAAUGUCACUACCGGAAUCCUGUGCAAUGAGUGCAGUGGCAUGCAGUGGCAUUCCUGCUCGGAAGAAGAGAUUGCAUUUUCAAAAUUCAGCAAAGUGUGAUGCCUAGACCCACAAGUGCGGCAGUGACUUGCAUUGCAUUGCCGUAGAUUAUGCCCUCGUUUAAGGCAGUUCAUACACGGGGCAAGCCUUUUUACCUAUAAGACUAUCAGAUAGCGUUAACUCCCGGAACCGGGAACCAAAUAGUAGUUGGGGCAAUAGCUAUAAAUGAGAAUUUGUUAUCGUGUCUAUUUUCUCACACCUGGCCGCCUGGCGAGUAGGUUGCCAUAGCGUAGUCCACGGAUUCUAAUGUUCUGCAGCGCUGCUCCAGAAAAUUUGCCAUCAAUUCCCACGACGAAAUCAAAUUCAUAAAUGCGAAUGAAGGCGAGCCCAAGCCUUUGAGAGCGCGAAUAUGAAUAUAGUUCCGAUAGUUCCCGUAGUUAAGAAACUGAUCCAUUACCAAUACUUUAGGUGCUGCAAUGGUAAUUGGCUAGGUCCGGAUGGCAGUCUAUAAUAAUUAUAAACAUCGAGUAAAAGUCUGUCCAGUUCGCAUAUGCGAACUAUGUCGCGUCUGAUGCCUUGGAUACCUGCAAUUAUUCGGCGUGACAUCUUCGGCAAACGUGGAAUGCGUAGCAAAAUUGGCAUUACGCUUGCAAAUCGCUCGUAUGCUAGCCUUGAACUAAAUAAACUUUGAAUAAACCACACUUAUUGUUCAAUUAAUA